rnacentral:rRNA from 1 species
CAAUUCCGCGUGGGGGACGAAGGCCCUCGGGUCGUAAACCCCUUUUGCGAGGGAAGAAGUUCUGACGGUACCUCGCGAAUAAGCCACGGCUAACUACGUGC